rnacentral:rRNA from 1 species
CCGUGAACCUUUACUAUAGCUUGACACUGAACAUUGAGCCUUGAUGUGUAGGAUAGGUGGGAGGCUUUGAAGUGUGGACGCCAGUCUGCAUGGAGCCGACCUUGAAAUACCACCCUUUAAUGUUUGAUGUUCUAACGUGGACCCGUAAUCCGGGUUGCGGACAGUGUCUGGUGGGUAGUUUGACUGGGGCGGUCUCCUCCUAAAGAGUAACGGAGGAGCACGAAGGUUGGCUAAUCCUGGUCGGACAUCAGGAGGUUAGUGCAAUGGCAUAAGCCAGCUUGACUGCGAGCGUGACGGCGCGAGCAGGUGCGAAAGCAGGUCAUAGUGAUCCGGUGGUUCUGAAUGGAAGGGCCAUCGCUCAACGGAUAAAAGGUACUCCGGGGAUAACAGGCUGAUACCGCCCAAGAGUUCAUAUCGACGGCGGUGUUUGGCACCUCGAUGUCGGCUCAUCACAUCCUGGGGCUGAAGUAGGUCCCAAGGGUAUGGCUGUUCGCCAUUUAAAGUGGUACGCGAGCUGGGUUUAGAACGUCGUGAGACAGUUCGGUCCCUAUCUGCCGUGGGCGCUGGAGAACUGAGGGGGGCUGCUCCUAGUACGAGAGGACCGGAGUGGACGCAUCACUGGUGUUCGGGUUGUCAUGCCAAUGGCACUGCCCGGUAGCUAAAUGCGGAAGAGAUAAGUGCUGAAAGCAUCUAAGCACGAAACUUGCCCCGAGAUGAGUUCUCCCUGAGACUUAGAGUCUCCUGAAGGAACGUUGAAGACGACGACGUUGAUAGGCCGGGUGUGUAAGCGCAGCGAUGCGUUGAGCUAACCGGUACUAAUGAACCGUGAGGCUUAACCUU